CCAUAAAAGGGAAGCUGGAAGCUGGAGGCCAGGUGUUCAUUUCCUGUGUGUGAGACCAGGUGUGUGUCGGGGCCACGCUGUUUGCUGGUUGUGGGUUUGGAGGAAAACUGUUUUAAAUUAAUUAGUUUGUGCUGAUGUGUGUUUUUAUACAAAGCUGCUUUAUUAAUGACGUUCCGGUGGCAGCGCAGCGUCACCUGGGCGUGACGCCGCAGGUCUCUGCACGGCCCUGCUCGUCCACCCAAACCAGGAGCUGUGUCCACAUUCCUGGCAGAAGGCUGAGUCAGUUCUCUGCGUUCCGACUCGCCGUUGGUCCUGAGAAAUGGAUCAUCCUGCUGGACUCAGAUACGGCGAGGAGCGCCAUCAUCUGGGAGGAGGUGGAAGCGCCGCUUCUGUGCAUCCAAAGGCGUUACAAUGGACCUGAACCUGGUACCGCUGAUCGACCAGCCUAGACGGGCUGGGCCGGUCAGACACACUUCAGAAAACCCAGUGGACCAGAACCAGCACCGGGGGUUCUGCCGCUCUCCCUCCAGACUCUGAGACCUCCAAAGGAAAUAAAAACUUUGCUUUCAUCGGAGAGCAGAGUUUGGACUUCUGAACCAGAACAGCCCGGUUCUGGUUGUCUUCAGCCCAGAUUUCUAAGCCCGGCUGGGUCGUGGUUCCGACCCGCCUCCCGACACCGAGAGACGAGUCAGAACCGGUCCGGCUGAACGCAGUGAGC